AGUGAACGCUGGCGGUAGGCCUAACACAUGCAAGUCGAACGGCAGCACAGUAAGAGCUUGCUCUUACGGGUGGCGAGUGGCGGACGGGUGAGGAAUACAUCGGAAUCUACUUUUUCGUGGGGGAUAACGUAGGGAAACUUACGCUAAUACCGCAUACGACCUACGGGUGAAAGCAGGGGAUCUUCGGACCUUGCGCGAUUGAAUGAGCCGAUGUCGGAUUAGCUAGUUGGCGGGGUAAAGGCCCACCAAGGCGACGAUCCGUAGCUGGUCUGAGAGGAUGAUCAGCCACACUGGAACUGAGACACGGUCCAGACUCCUACGGGAGGCAGCAGUGGGGAAUAUUGGACAAUGGGCGCAAGCCUGAUCCAGCCCUACCGCGUGGGUGCAGAAGGCCUUCGGGUUGUAAAGCCCUUUUGUUGGGAAAGAAAAGCAGCAGGUUAAUACCCCGCUGUUCUGACGGUACCCAAAGAAUAAGCACCGGCUAACUUCGUG
rnacentral:rRNA from 1 species